rnacentral:rRNA from 1 species
UACGUAGGGUGCAAGCGUUAAUCGGAAUUACUGGGCGUAAAGCGAGCGCAGGCGGUUAUGUAAGACAGAUGUGAAAUCCCCGGGCUCAACCUGGGAACUGCAUUUGUGACUGCAUGGCUAGAGUGUGUCAGAGGGGGGUGGAAUUCCACGUGUAGCAGUGAAAUGCGUAGAGAUGUGGAGGAACACCGAUGGCGAAGGCAGCCCCCUGGGAUAACACUGACGCUCAUGCUCGAAAGCGUGGGGAGCAAACAGG